rnacentral:rRNA from 1 species
UGGGGGAUAUUGCACAAUGGGGGAAACCUUGAUGCAGCGACCGCCGCGUGGAGGAAGAAGGUUUUCGGAUUGUAAACUCCUGUCGUUAGGGACGAUAAUGACGGUACCUAACAAGAAAGCACCGGCUAACUACGUGCCAGCAGCCGCGGUAAAACGUAGGGUGCAAGCGUUGUCCGGAAUUACUGGGUGUAAAGGGAGCGCAGGCGGGAAGACAAGUUGGAAGUGAAAACCAUGGGCUCAACCCAUGAAUUGCUUUCAAAACUGUUUUUCUUGAGUAGUGCAGAGGUAGAUGGAAUUCCCGGUGUAGCGGUGGAAUGCGUAGAUAUCGGGAGGAACACCAGUGGCGAAGGCGGUCUACUGGGCACCAACUGACGCUGAGGCUCGAAAGCAUGGGUAGCAAACAG